rnacentral:rRNA from 1 species
AUGGAGUGUGCGGCAAGGGGGAUAGUGGAGGAGCCAUGCGCCAGCGGCGCCCACCGGCGGUGCGGCAGCUGCGGGGCAGUGGCCUACUGCUCGAAAGGCCACCAGUUCAUACAUUGGAAAGUUCAUAAAGAAGAAUGUGCAAGGCUUGCAACACAAAUGAGUCGCAUUGAUAUGCUCAGCCAAUUUCCGUUCACAUUCUCCGUCGAACCUCUUGCUCUGAAUCAUACAAACCGAAGUAUGAGGUGCUUAUUUUUGGAGUCAAUGAAAGUUCACCUGAAAGGACUCUGGAAAUCAGAAUGCAUGUGUGGCCCAGAUAUUGCUUCUGUCAAGGACCUGAGCAUAACAACUGAAUGGAACAUGGAACGCUCACUUUGCCCAUGUACAGAGCCUGAAAAUCCUGUGCCCGCACCCCUGGCAAGCUGGGAAGACUACUUUCAGUGGAGAUCCCUUCCUUUACAUUCACCUGUGGCAGUUUUACUUCACUGGCCACUUACUCUAUAUCAUUGCCUUCAACUAUCUCGCGUCCGAACCUCAAGAUAUGAUGGCCAUGACACUCUGCACAUUCACUAUUUAGGACCUGAGAAAGAGCUGCUUCAGCUUGCGGUGUUUGCAGAACUACGUGCACUAUUUCCAGGUGUCCACCUUCGCAUUGAACUUGUGGGGCCAGCAGUUCCAAGAUCCAGGGAUGGUGAAGUUGUAAAUAUUUCCAGCUAUCCAAAUUGUUCCGGUGAGAGUUGCCAUUGUAGAUCUUCUAUUGCCUCUGAGAACUUGAAUUGCAGUGCAGUGACACUGAGAAUAUGGAAAGGACUCUAUCAUGAGAGAUAUGGUGAUAUAGUAAAGGAUUCAAAUCCUCAUCUUAUACUUGCCCCAAAUGCGGGUGUAGCUGCUUAUCCUAGUUGGAUGCCAACUAUUGAAAUGAUUAGGGGGAUUGGAGUUCCUGCAAUCUUUACGGACUUUUGCGAAGAAGCUGCUCAUCUGGCUUCUUGCUGCAUAAGCUCCAUAACUGGUCAACCCCUGGGACUCCCUAUACAGGUAAAUCCUUUCAGGCAGCCAAUUGAGGAGAACAAUAGUGCGCUAUACAUACCAUGCUACUCGAAUGGUUUUGUUUUUGGAAUGUAA